rnacentral:rRNA from 1 species
UACGGAGGGAGCUAGCGUUGUUCGGAAUUACUGGGCGUAAAGCGCGCGUAGGCGGCUUUGUAAGUUAGAGGUGAAAGCCCGGGGCUCAACUCCGGAACUGCCUUUAAGACUGCAUCGCUUGAAUCCGGGAGAGGUGAGUGGAAUUCCGAGUGUAGAGGUGAAAUUCGUAGAUAUUCGGAAGAACACCAGUGGCGAAGGCGGCUCACUGGCCCGAUACUGACGCUGAGGCACGAAAGCGUGGG